rnacentral:rRNA from 1 species
AUUGAACGCUGGCGGCAUGCUUUACACAUGCAAGUCGAACGGUAACAGGGAGCUUGCUCCGCUGACGAGUGGCGAACGGGUGAGUAAUAUAUCGGAACGUACCCAAGAGUGGGGGAUAACGUAGCGAAAGUUACGCUAAUACCGCAUACGAUCUAAGGAUGAAAGCAGGGGACCUUCGGGCCUUGUGCUCCUGGAGCGGCCGAUAUCUGAUUAGCUAGUUGGUGAGGUAAAGGCUCACCAAGGCGACGAUCAGUAGCUGGUCUGAGAGGACGACCAGCCACAAUGGAACUGAGACACGGUCCAGACUCCUACGGGAGGCAGCAGUGGGGAAUUUUGGACAAUGGGCGCAAGCCUGAUCCAGCAAUGCCGCGUGAGUGAAGAAGGCCUUCGGGUUGUAAAGCUCUUUUGUCAGGGAAGAAACGGGAUUGGCUAAUAUCCAGUCCUAAUGACGGUACCUGAAGAAUAAGCACCGGCUAACUACGUG